rnacentral:rRNA from 1 species
CGUAGGGGGCAAGCGUUGUCCGGAUUUAUUGGGCGUAAAGAGCGUGUAGGCGGCCAGAUAGGUCAGCUGUGAAGACUCGAGGCUCAACCUCGAGAUGUCGGCUGAAACCAUCUGGCUAGAGUCCGGAAGAGGAGAAUGGAAUUCCCGGUGUAGCGGUGAAAUGCGCAGAUAUCGGGAAGAACACCCGUGGCGAAGGCGGUUCUCUGGGACGGUACUGACGCUGAGACGCGAAAGCGUGGGGAGCGAACAGGAUUAGAUACCCUGGUAGUCCACGCCGUAAACGAUGGGAACUAGGUGUGGGCGGUGUCGACUCCGUCCGUGCCGAAGCUAACGCAUUAAGUUCCUCGCCUGGGGAGUACGGCCGCAAGGCUA